UACUGAUUUGAUAUUAUUUUCUUUUAAGGGUUUUAUAUCUUUUUAAUUAUUAUUAUAUGGUUUAAUAAUUAUAAUAUUAUUAAUACAAAAAAGGUUUUAUAAUUUAAAUUAUUAUUUAAAACGAGAAUUAGAUACUCUCUUAUUAAUAAUUUAAAUUUUUAAUUCUCUCAGUUUUAACUGAAAUAAUUUGGCAGUUAAUGAUAUUUUUCUGGGGAAUCGUGUAAUUUAAUAGAUGGUCCACUUAUUAAUUUACUUUUAUUAUGUAUGUUAGUGUAUAUCCGGUUAUUUAUAAAAAUUUUAUAAUUUUUGUUUAAUGUUUUAUUUAAUCCAGGUCAAUAUGCUGCUGAUAUAGAAGUUAUUAUGCGAGGCAUUAAAAAUUUUAUAAUUUGUGAUAAUUGUAAUAUUUAGGACUCAGUAGUACUAUGGAAUAGUGAGUCCGUGAGAAUUAAAUUUAAUUAAGGUA
rnacentral:rRNA from 1 species